CAGAUACUUCAAUAAUAAAGAAUGGGUGAAAAAAAUUUCACAUUAUCAUGCUGCAUAAUAGUACAUUUCAGCUGUAACAAAACAAAUUGAUGAAAGCUUCAACCACGAGAAUCUAGGAAAGGAUGUCAAGUCCAAAGAGAAGGCCAUAUAACAAAUGGUUGCUGAAUUCAUGAAGACUAGCUGGGAUGAUACAGUACUUUUCUACUCAUAUGAACCAUAUCUAAACAUCAUUUGAGGAUCCCUUUCUCAGAAAAAAAGAAUUUGCAUAUUCAAAGACUCUGUAGUUUAUUGUUUAUUUGUACGUCUUGAGAAAUUUUCACUCAUAUGGGGAUGCCAACAUUUGUCGGUGGAGAGCUGCAAAUUUUGUCCUUUACUUGGCACACAUGGCUAAUUGAGCAAUGAGGGAUCUUUUUGGUACUAGCACCUACUGCAACACAGGACCUCUGUAUAUACAGUCUCUUCUAUGUCUGACUGUGGGAUUUCGAACCAGCAAUUUAUGGAUCAACUCCUUACUCUUGACUCUCGAGCAGAUGCUCUUGCCACUGUGCCAUGCAGGUGACUUCAUAGGUUAUAAAAUGAUAAGAUUUAUAACUUAAAACUGAUUUUUUUUAAUUCAAUCACAGUAUAGAAAAUGUUUGCGAAAAAGGGAGGUAAUAGCUACCUGUAGCUCUCACUGGUAUUGCAUGCUUAAACUAUAUGAAUUACAUAUUGUAAUUACACAUGUAUUUUAAACCAGAUCAGUAAAGAAAGAAACACUUGAAUAUUUUUACCAUGAAUUUUAUUAUAAGGUUGAUUAUCUUUAAAAAUGGAAGUAUAAUUUUUUUUUGAGUAGGAAAAAAAAAUAUUUAGAAUGUACAUGUGCACUUAAUUUUGUUUAUUAAAAAUAGUCAAAAUUUGGAGAUCUUGUGAAGGGGAUCUAAAUAUUGAUAUAUAAAUUUUUACUUCAUUUUUAAACAGCAUAAUCUUUAUUAUAACAUAUGCCUGUAAUAUACAACUUAUUUGUUGUUGAACAUUCCAUUGUCUGUCUACAUGUAGU